UACGUAGGGUGCGAGCGUUAAUCGGAAUUACUGGGCGUAAAGCGUGCGUAGGCGGUUCGUUAAGUUCGUUGUGAAAGCCCCGGGCUCAACCUGGGAAUGGCAAUGGAAACUGGCGGGCUUGAGUAUGGCAGAGGGGGGUGGAAUUCCGCGUGUAGCAGUGAAAUGCGUAGAGAUGCGGAGGAACACCGAUGGCGAAGACAGCCCCCUGGGCCAAUACUGACGCUCAGGCACGAAAGCGUGGGGAGCAAACAGG
rnacentral:rRNA from 1 species